CUACAACAUCGGGAAGUUCCCCAGAGUGACUGGGUGCAUCGACCGCACCCACGUCAAAAUAAAGGGACCUGGCGGUCCCAAUGGGGAAGUCUUCAGGAAGAGGAAGGGGUUCUUCUCCCUCAACGUGCAGGCCAUCACAGGACCCCAGCGGCAGUUUUUUGACCUUGUUGCUGGGUGGCCAGGCUCCUUGCAUGACAGCAGGAUAUUCGACAACAGUCGUGCAAGGGUCCUGUACGAGAAUCAGCUUAUCCAUGGGCUGCUGCUCGGAGACGCAGGCUAUGCCUGCAUGUCAUUUCUUCUGACGCCCCUGACCAGCCCAGGUGUAGCCAACAGCCCAAAGGGCAGGUACCAAGCAGCUCACCUAAAAACAAGGAACUCGGUCGAACGGGCAUUUGGAGUGUUCAAGCGACGCUUCCCAUGCCUGGACAUGCGGCUGCAGUACAAGGCGGAACGGUCAGCCUUCAUCAUCACCGCCUGUGCUGCACUGCACAACCUGGCCCUGCUGCGAAAAGAGCCAUGCCCACCUGCUCUACCCUCUCCACCAGUACCCCGAUGCCGGAGGCGGCUGCGUCCUCAUGUACUGCCAUCACCUCCAGACCCUGUCGACACAAUCAACGGCUCGCUGAAACGCACACAGAUUAUCGCACUGUGUUUCCAAUAGGGAUAUUCAACCAGUAGCACAUGUUUAUAGUCAAUGACAGGUCAAGGAUAGUGUACAAGCUGGAGAGGAGGAAGCAGACAGAAGCUUGAGGUGGAGAGGAGAAACCUCCUCUCCACUUAAAGCUUCCGUCUUACUUUUCAUCUCCAGCUUGUACUCUCUUCUUAACCCGUCACUGACUCGUGAAAAUACUCGGACACGA